rnacentral:pre_miRNA from 1 species
AAUAAGUGUAGUUUUGCACUAUUUAUGUUCAAUGUUUGACCGUUCGUCUUAUUUGAAAACUUUUUAUGAUUAGUAUUUUUAUUGCUAUUAGAUGAUAAAACAUAAAUAGUACUUUAUGUGUGAUUAAAUAUUUUUAAUUUUUUCAUAAAUUUUUCAAAUAAGACAAACGGUCAAACAUUGGGUACGGAUAUCCACAGCUGUACUUAUU